rnacentral:lncRNA from 10 species
CUGUUCGCCCCGCGCCACCGGCCCGCGCCCCGCCAUGGAGGACCUGGAUGCCCUGCUCUCUGACCUGGAGACUACCACCUCGCACAUGCCAAGGUCAGGGGCUCCCAAAGAGCGCCCUGCGGAGCCUCUCACCCCUCCCCCAUCCUAUGGCCACCAGCCACAGACAGGGUCUGGGGAGUCUUCAGGAGCCUCGGGGGACAAGGACCACCUGUACAGGUGAGGGGCCUGGAAACCAGGGCAUGGGGGCCAACUGAGUCUCAGGUGAGGAGGCUUGGAUUCCCCACCCCUGAACCCAGGCUCCCACUCUGCUUCCCAGCACGGUAUGCAAGCCUCGGUCCCCAAAGCCUGCAGCCCCGGCGGCCCCUCCAUUCUCCUCUUCCAGCGGUGUCUUGGGUACCGGGCUCUGUGAGCUAGAUCGGUUGCUUCAGGAACUUAAUGCCACUCAGUUCAACAUCACAGGUACCAGGGUGACUGAGAGAGGCCUUGAUGCGAUAGGGGCAGGGGAGGGAAGGGUGGGGCAGAGACUAAGAGGAAUACACUUCCCAGAGUAGCAGUUAAAGGGACCUAAAGCCUCAAG